rnacentral:tRNA from 1 species
GGUUCGGUAGCUCAGUUGGAUAGAGCAACAGCCUUCUAAGCUGUGGGUCUUGGGUUCGAAUCCC